CGCGUAGGUGGUAGUGUAAGUCUGGGGUGGAAUCCCAGGGCUUAACCCUGGAACUGCCUUGGAAACUGUAUUACUUGAGUCAGUGAGGGGAGGGUAGAAUUCCUGGUGUAGCGGUGAAAUGCGUAGAUAUCAGGAGGAAGGCCUGUGGCGAAGGCGGCCCUCUGGCGCUGGACUGACACUGAGGCGCGAAAGCGUGGGGAGCAAACAGGAUUAGAUACCCUGGUAGUCCACGCCCUAAACGGUGGGCACUAGGUGUAGGGCUCGUAAGGGUUCUGUGCCGAAGGGAAACCAUUAAGUGCCCCGCCUGGGGAUACGGCCGCAAGGUUGAA
rnacentral:rRNA from 1 species